rnacentral:rRNA from 1 species
AACGAACGCUGGCGGCAUGCCUAACACAUGCAAGUCGAACGAGACCUUCGGGUCUAGUGGCGCACGGGUGCGUAACGCGUGGGAAUCUGCCCUUGGGUUCGGAAUAACUUCGGGAAACUGAAGCUAAUACCGGAUGAUGACGUAAGUCCAAAGAUUUAUCGCCCAAGGAUGAGCCCGCGUAGGAUUAGCUAGUUGGUGAGGUAAAGGCUCACCAAGGCGACGUACCUUAGCUGGUCUGAGAGGAUGAGCAGCCACACUGGGACUGAGACACGGCCCAGACCCCUACGGGAGGCAGCAGUGGGGAAUAUUGGACAAUGGGCGAAAGCCUGAUCCAGCAAUGCCGCGUGAGUGAUGAAGGCCUUAGGGUUGUAAAGCUCUUUUACCCGGGAUGAUAAUGCCAGUACCGGGAGAAUAAGCUCCGGCUAACUCCGUGCCAGCAGCCGCGGUAA